CUCCGGCUCCUCCACCCUCCUCCCCCUUUUCCCGGCUCCCGCCCGACUGCGCAGCCGCGAUCCCAGAGGGAGCGCUCCCCGGCCCCGCGCGCGGCCCGUGCGCGCUCCACCUCCGCGCCAAUGGGCCGAAGCGGGCAGUGGGGCAGUACUCGGCCGAAGCGGCCGCGUCUUUCCCUUGUGCGGACGUGCGGAAAGCCUGAAAAGGUUUUCCUGCCUCGAAGGACUGCGGGAAGAACAGGCUCAAAGUAGCUCUUGUGCACUUCUGAUUCCCCUCGUGACAAAGUUUGACAUGUCCAGAUCAGUUCCCAAUCCUAAACAGGUAGUGUAGUUUUAAUUUACAAGACAGCCAGUGUCUCAGACUUGAGGAGGUACACAGAGAACACAAACGAGUGCUACAGAUUUAUUGGGAUUGCGGAGAAGAGGUCGCCCUGAGAAAAGUGAGCAGUGCGUGCUCCGAUACAGACACUGGGGUCCUUGGAGUUGGCCUGCCAGGGUGCAAAAGAGGACAAGCCACGAGCGCUGGCAGAGAGGCGAGUGGAGCGGGUUGGGCAUGGGAAGCUCUGGGAGCUGAAACAUGCAGAGCGGCCGCCAGCCAGCCCGUGUAGAGGGCGUGGGAGGCAGGCAGGGCAAUGAUUGACCUCCUCACCAGGAGACGUCUGGAUUUUCAAAGACUCGGGUGGGGACUGUGCAAGCUGUCGUGCAACCUUGCAAAGGAGAGGUGGUGGAGGGUGGAGGGGGUGGAUAAGUCCCAUUCCUGCACCAGAAAUGUAAACACGUGAUGAUCUGGAAGCUCUUUACCUACCCAAAGCCCCACCGUGCUUAAGACACAGAUUGCGAGCAAUACAUCUAGUCUAUGUGGACACCAAUGCCAGCUCUUAAUACCUGUCCAAGAAAGCAUGUGGGGAUGGAGGAUUACUUUUCUGUUCUCAGUAAAUUGUCUAUUAGGCAUUUACAAAAGCUUUAAUCAAGCAGGUGAUGGCCACUUCAGCAAUACCACUUUGGAGUGUUGCUUCAGCAAUACUUACCUAAUACCCUAAGGUACCACACCCUCUGACCAUUAAUAUUCUCUAAUGCCUGCUGGCUCCUGAGGAACAGGAUCUCAUCAAACCUGUUAGGGAUAAAAUAAAUCUAAUCAAACAAUAGUCAAGCAAACUACUUAUGGUUAACUGCUUCAUACAUUUUUAACCUUUCAAUCCUUUUGCCUAUGGUAAGAUUGCAUAUUUACUAAAUUCCCAAAGAAGUUUUGAGUGUCUAUUGACUAAAAAAUAUUGGAACAUGACCAUCUAUUCACCUAUACAAGUAGCCUUUCCUCAAUUGUCUAAUUUUUAAUUAUUUUAUAGCAUCAGUUAUAUGAACAUACUACUUAAAUUGCUUCCUAAUGAUUGCAUAUCAUUGGAUUUCUUCUUUAAGGCUCUGGUAUCUUGACAAUUAAACUCCUGACUAAAUGCUAUUCCAUGGCCAGAGAUCCUGUUUUUGCCAGUUUAAGACACUUGCUGGGGGCCCAGAGUGCAGGCUUUCCUUCUGCUUGUCCACGUUUGGAGGAUUGUUUGGCCUCUUUAAGCUAAACAUGAGGAUAAUUAGCGCAGGAUUCAGAUGUGUCCACAUAUAAGAAUCUUGCAUAUCUAAUUCAAUUUUAUCAUCUGCUAAACUAGUACGAUUGGAUCAAUGAAGCAAAGAAGGAGUGUUGUCAACAGUGUAGAAUGUCAAAGAGAGACUGAAGAGGAGGGAGAUCGAAAAGUGUCAUUAGAUUUGUCAUUAUGGAGUUGAGGUUGCCAGAAGAUGAGUGCUGAGAAUGUGAUAUUGGAGCUCAUGCAAUUGGAAAUCUGAACUUUGGACCCAGGACUUUGCCAGGAGCCAGG